rnacentral:rRNA from 1 species
AUUGAACGCUGGCGGCAUGCUUUACACAUGCAAGUCGAACGGUAACAGGCCGCAAGGUGCUGACGAGUGGCGAACGGGUGAGUAAUGCAUCGGAACGUGCCCAGUCGUGGGGGAUAACGCAGCGAAAGCUGUGCUAAUACCGCAUACGAUCCAUGGAUGAAAGCGGGGGACCGUAAGGCCUCGUGCGAUUGGAGCGGCCGAUGUCAGAUUAGCUAGUUGGUGGGGUAAAGGCCCACCAAGGCGACGAUCUGUAGCUGGUCUGAGAGGACGACCAGCCACACUGGGACUGAGACACGGCCCAGACUCCUACGGGAGGCAGCAGUGGGGAAUUUUGGACAAUGGGCGCAAGCCUGAUCCAGCAAUGCCGCGUGCAGGAAGAAGGCCUUCGGGUUGUAAACUGCUUUUGUACGGAACGAAACGGCCUGGGUUAAUACCCUGGGCUAAUGACGGUACCGUAAGAAUAAGCACCGGCUAACUACGUGCCAGCAGCCGCCGUAA